rnacentral:rRNA from 1 species
GACUACGGCCCUACCAUCCUGAAUAUGCCUGAUUUUGUCUGAUCUCAGAAGCUGAGCAGGGUCAGGCCUGGCUAGUACUUGGAUGGGAGGUGGUGAGGUUUUAACCCGGUGCUAACAGACG